rnacentral:rRNA from 1 species
GGGGGCAUUCGUAUUCCGUUGUCAGAGGUGAAAUUCUUGGAUUUACGGAAGACGAACAUCUGCGAAAGCAUUUGCCAAGGAUACUUUCAUUGAUCAAGAACGAAAGUUGGGGGCUCGAAGACGAUUAGAUACCGUCGUAGUCUCAACCAUAAACGAUGCCGACUAGGGAUUGGCAGAUGUUCCUUUGAUGACUCUGCCAGCACCUUAUGAGAAAUCAAAGUUUUUGGGUUCCGGGGGGAGUAUGGUCGCAAGGCUGAAACUUAAAGGAAUUGACGGAAGGGCACCACCAGGCGUGGAGCCUGCGGCUUAAUUUGACUCAACACGGGGAAACUUACCAGGUCCAGACACGGGAAGGAUUGACAGAUUGAGAGCUCUUUCUUGAUUCUGUGGGUGGUGGUGCAUGCCGU